GUCUCUCUGUGAGUUUGGGGGUUUACAGCUCAAUCUGUGGGUUUGGGUCUCCCCGUGGUUUUGGGGUGUUGGGAUACCAUCUCUGUGGGUUUUGGGGGUCUCUGUGGGAUUUGGGGUUUUUGGGGUCUCUCUGUGGGAUUUGGGGUUUUUGGGGUCUCUCUGUGGGUUUUGGGGGUCUCUCCUGUGGGAUUUGGGGUCUCACCUGUGGGUUUUGGGGUUUUUGGGGUCUCUCUGUGGGAUUUGGGGUCUCACCUGUGGGUUUUGGGGUUUUUGGGGUCUCACCUGUGGGAUUUGGGGUUUUUGGGGUCUCUCUGUGGGUUUUGGGGUCUCACCUGUGGGUUUUGGGGUUUUUGGGGUCUCACCUGUGGGAUUUGGGGUUUUUGGGGUCUCUCUGUGGGAUUUGGGGUCUCACCUGCGCAGGAAGGGCCCCCCCAGCAGCCCCAGGGUGAAGCUGAGGGCGGUGGGCGGCUGGGGCCCCGGGCUGAGGGGAGAGCAGGCAGGCGGCCGGGGGGCUUCAUCCUGGGGGGCUGGGACGGACAGACAGACAGACAGACGGACAGGGGUCACACAGGGGUCACCCCAAAACCGGCCGCGGCCUCGCUCAGCUCCGCCACAUCCCGGGAUCGGCUCCCGGCGAUCCCAAAUCCCCUCAGCGAUCCCAAAUCCCCCGGGCGAUCCCAAAUCCCCUCAGCGAUCCCAAACCCCUCAGCGAUCCCAAAUCCCCUCAGCGAUCCCAAAUCCCUCAGCGAUCCCAAAUCCCCUCAGCGAUCCCAAACCCCCUCAGCGAUCCCAAACCCCCUCAGCGAUCCCAAAGCCCCCGGGCGAUCCCAAAUCCCCUCAGCGAUCCCAAAGCCCCUCAGCGAUCCCAAAUCCCCUCAGCGAUCCCAAAUCCCCCGCAGCGAUCCCAAAGCCCCUCAGCGAUCCCAAACCCCCUCAGCGAUCCCAAAGCCCCUCAGCGAUCCCAAACCCCCAGCGAUCCCAAAGCCCCCGGGCGAUCCCAAAGCCCCUCAGCGAUCCCAAAUCCCCUCAGCGAUCCCAAAGCCCCUCAGCGAUCCCAAAGCCCCUCAGCGAUCCCAAAUCCCCUCAGCGAUCCCAAAUCCCCUGGGCGAUCCCAAAUCCCCCGGGCGAUCCCAAAUCCCCUCAGCGAUCUCCCUCCUCCCAGGCGAUCCCAAAGCCCCUCAGCGAUCCCAAACCCCCUCAGCGAUCCCAAAGCCCGAACUUCCCGAUCCUUCUCUUCCCUGCCCCGCCAACUUUUCCCCUUUUGUCUCCGGGCCCGCCCCGGGACGGCCCCGGCGGGCGGAGCGGGACAGGGGCGGGGUUUGGGAUUGGGGAUCGGGGCGGGGAGCGGGGAUUGGGGGAGCGGGGGUUUGGGAUUUGGGAUCGGGGCCGGGAUCGGGGAGGGGAGCGGGGCGGGGUUUGGGAUUUGGGAUCGGGAUUUGGGAUCAGGGCUGGGAAUGGGAUUUGGGGUGGGGAGUGGAAGGGAAAUGGGGUCGGGAAUAGGAACGGGAAUGGGAUCAGGCUGGGAAUGGGGCGGGAAUGGGAUUUGCGGCCAGGAAUGGGAUCGGGAAUGGGACCCAGCCCCCUCCAGACCCCAAAUUCCCCACAGAAUUCCCAAAUGUUGGGGGUUUUAAGGUCCUCACUCUAAAUGGGACCCCAAAACUACAGUAGAACCCCAUCCCCCAAGCCCCUCCAGCCCCCCAU
rnacentral:lncRNA from 14 species